rnacentral:rRNA from 1 species
AUUGAACGCUGGCGGCAGGCCUAACACAUGCAAGUCGAACGAGUGGCGGACGGGUGAGUAAUGUCUGGGAAACUGCCCGAUGGAGGGGGAUAACUACUGGAAACGGUAGCUAAUACCGCAUACCAUCGGAUGUGCCCAGAUGGGAUUAGCUAGUAGGUGGGGUAACGGCUCACCUAGGCGACGAUCACUAGCUGGUCUGAGAGGAUGACCAGCCACACUGGAACUGAGAGACGGUCCAGACUCCGACAGGAGGCAGCAGUGGGGAAUGUAGCAUAGUGGGCACAAGACUAAUGCAGCGAUGCGGCGUGGAUGAAGAAGGCCGUCGGGUUGUAAAGUACUAUCAGCGAGGAGGCGUUACGCGAAGAAGAAGCAGCGGCGAACUCCGUGCCAGCCGCGGUAAUAC